GNUAAACGCUGGCGGCGUGCCUAAUACAUGCAAGUCGAUCGAUGGAUGCCCAGCUUGCUGGGAGGAAAUUAGAGGCGAACGGGUGAGUAAUACGUAAGCAACCUGCCCACGAAGACCGGGAUAAUCCCUGGAAACGGGGGACUAAGACCGGAUAGGUAACAGAACCGCAUGAUUCUGUUAUUAAGGUUAAAAACACUGGUGGAUGGGCUUACGGUGCAUUAGCUGGUUGGUGAGGUAAACGGCCCACCAAGGCGAUGAUGCAUAGCUGGUCUGAGAGGAUGAACAGCCACAUUGGGACUGAGACACGGCCCAGACUCCUACGGGAGGCAGCAGUAGGGAAUUUUCGGCAAUGGGGGAAACCCUGACCGAGCAACGCCGCGUGAGUGAAGAAGGUCUUCGGAUUGUAAAGCUCUGUUGUAAGGGAAGAAAUGUACUGUGAGAAACAGUACUUGACGGUACCUUACCAGAAAGCUACGGCUAACUACGUG
rnacentral:rRNA from 1 species